GGGCGACUAGCUCAGUUGGUUAGAGCGUUCGAUUCACAUUCGAAAGGUCUCAGGUUCGAAUCCUGAGUCGCCCA
rfam:Parcubacteria bacterium GW2011_GWA2_47_8 TY09_C0008, whole genome shotgun sequence.